AUUGAACGCUGGCGGCAGGCCUAACACAUGCAAGUCGAGCGGAUGAAGGGAGCUUGCUCCUGGAUUCAGCGGCGGACGGGUGAGUAAUGCCUAGGAAUCUGCCUGGUAGUGGGGGAUAACGUCCGGAAACGGGCGCUAAUACCGCAUACGUCCCGAGGGAGAAAGUGGGGGAUCUUCGGACCUCACGCUAUCAGAUGAGCCUAGGUCGGAUUAGCUAGUUGGUGGGGUAAAGGCCUAGCAAGGCGACGAUCCGUAACUGGUCUGAGAGGAUGAUCAGUCACACUGGAACUGAGACACGGUCCAGACUCCUACGGGAGGCAGCAGUGGGGAAUAUUGGACAAUGGGCGAAAGCCUGAUCCAGCCAUGCCGCGUGUGUGAAGAAGGUCUUCGGAUUGUAAAGCACUUUAAGUUGGGAGGAAGGGCAGUAAGUUAAUACCUUGCUGUUUUGACGUUACCAACAGAAUAAGCACCGGCUAACUUCGUG
rnacentral:rRNA from 1 species